rfam:Staphylococcus sp. HGB0015 genomic scaffold aczIz-supercont1.1, whole genome shotgun sequence.
AAAAAAUUUAAAAAAUUGUUGACAUUAGAUUAACAAUUUGGUAAGAUAAAUAAGUAAGUUGUUUUGAAAUAAUAUUAGCGCGGGAUGGAGCAGUUCGG